rnacentral:lncRNA from 10 species
ACAUUCUGAGGAAGUGGGUGUUAGAAUUUCAACAUACGAAUUUUGGAGUGGAGAACACAAUUUAAUGCAUAACAGCUCUUUUCAUCUCUCAGCAAACUAGGUCUCAGGUCUGAAGUCCACUGCGGUCAGCCUUCCCUGGUGGUGAGCUGCUGUCAGAACCUCCCCACUACUCCUCUGGGUGGCCCCAGUCUUGUGCCUAUUUCCCUCUCGUGGUCAUCAAGUCUCGCCCAGAUGGAGUCUCAGUUUUAUAAGGGGGAGUUUCCCUGCACAAGCUCUCUCUCUUUGUCUGCUGCCAUUCAUGUAAAAUGUGACUUGCUCCUCCUUGCCUUCCGUCAUGAUUGUGAUGCCUCCCAGCCAUGUGGAAAUCACCCUGGCAAAGUAUACAUAAAAAUCAUGAAUCUGUGUCUCCGGGACCCAUCAGUGAAAUUCCUGGAGCACUGGCCUAAGAGAAUUCCAAAAUUGUACGAGCUUCAGGCCCCACAAAACCUGGAUCCACCCUCAGAUUUCAUUUAUCUCGCUUCGUGGUGACAAAUGAACCUGCUGUUCUUGUCACUCCCCGGGUCCGACUGUACUCCCAAAUCUGUCAAGCGAAAAGUUUCAGAAAUGUUCGUUAUGACUCCUUGGAUAUUCUUAACUAAUAGGGCCUCUGUGAGAUCUGUACUACUAAGAAGUUUCACAAGUAAUUCUAAUAUUCAGCCUGGGUUGAAAACCGCCAUCCACCAUCCACGGAUGCUGUGCUUAGGGCCCGUGCUUCUCAGAUGGUGGGCCAUCACUCAUUCUGAGUUGUGAAAUCAUCUUAACAGGUCCCAAUUAGCAUUGUUUUAAUAGAAUGGAAUAUGUUACCUUGCAUCAUAAGGUUGGUGUGUUCGUCCCACUUUUGUUUCAAUAUCUACAAUAUAUAUAACUUAUACAUUGCCUUGGGUAGCGCAAUUCUGAAUCCUGUGGUCAUUAGAAGUUUCACAGCAUCAAUGUUAAGAAUACCUGAUGCCCCAAAACUGGUUUAAGUCAAAAAAAGGAUGACCUGGUGUUAACUAAUUGUAAACAGCCUACUUCCUUAUGCCCUAAGGAUAACUUUGUUAUCGGAGCUGAGGAAAACAACUUCAAAAUAGAGAAAUUAAGAGCUCACAAACUUUCUUUUUUUGAAGAGAUGCUGAUUGGGGUGUGUGUGUGGGGGUGUGUGUGUGUGGUUUUUUAAAUCCUGGAAAUACUAAAAUAGUUAUAGAAGGAGAAAAGUAACUUGAGAUGUAAAAAAAUAUAUUAUUUUACUAUGGAAUGUGGUGGGGAAAGAAAAUAGGAGUGUGGAAAAGUUUUCUUCAUGCAAGCAAAUGUUUCUAUCUGUGUACUUUAGAAGGAAAUAAUAACCGCAGACGAAGGAACACAGUAUGAAAGUAAACUGCGUGACCGUUUGUAGGGCACAAAGUGAGUUCUUUCUACUCAAAAUAAAAUGCUUAAGUUAUGCUGUCUGGCAAAGCCCACUGAGUUUGUAAUGUGCUUGUACCUGGAUAUCUUUGUUUCCUGGAGCUCCUAAAAAUAAAAUAGGAUAUUCUAUGUGACAUUUAGAUUUAGUCAUCAGCUAACCCUGGACUGUUUUCAGCUAGAACCUGCUGCAUUUUAAUUUGGACAGCAGUGAAUCAUCUUUUCUUCUAGCAUUCAUGAGCUGAUAAUCAUGAACUUGGAAGACUUUGAAAAUUCAAGGUAGCAAAUUUUUCAAAGCAUUUUAACAAGUGAGAUAAGUGAAAUGCAUGGGGUGGAUAAUAUUGAGACAUUGUUCUAUUAGUUGCAUUGGUAUUUACUGGAGAUAGUAUUGCAAAUGAGUUAAAGCCAUGAGCUCAGGAAACAGCCUGCCUGGAUAACAGUCUAGCACUGUACUCACCAGCUUCAGGAAGCUGUACCUUAGUUUCCCUGUUUGUAUGUGGGGAUAUUAAUGAAUACAAUUCAUGGAGAUAUUGUGAACAUUAAAUAAUACACACAAAAUGCUUAAAAUAUUUCCUGGCAAGUACUAAGCAUUCAACACAUUAACUUUAAACACACAGAUGAAAUCAAAAAAGAGACCUUUAUGCUAAUUCAGCAUUCAUCUAACUGUUUUGUCCAGUUUCAUUUCCAACAUACUGGAAACAAAUAUUGUCAUAAAAAAUGAAGCCAUUGUUAAAGAGGAUCAAGAAAAUGAUUUUAAAACAAUCUCUAACAUGAUGAUUCUUAAGGUGGGGCAUUGAGGAACCUGGCAUUUCAUUUAACAAUUCUACUGUUUUCUAAUAAAUGUUCUGCUAGGUUGCUUUUAAUUUAAA